rnacentral:rRNA from 1 species
AGUGAACGCUGGCGGUAGGCCUAACACAUGCAAGUCGAACGGCAGCACAGUAAGAGCUUGCUCUUACGGGUGGCGAGUGGCGGACGGGUGAGGAAUACAUCGGAAUCUACUUUUUCGUGGGAGAUAACGUAGGGAAACUUACGCUAAUACCGCAUACGACCUACGGGUGAAAGCAGGGGAUCUUCGGACCUUGCGCGAUUGAAUGAGCCGAUGUCGGAUUAGCUAGUUGGCGGGGUAAAGGCCCACCAAGGCGACGAUCCGUAGCUGGUCUGAGAGGAUGAUCAGCCACACUGGAACUGAGACACGGUCCAGACUCCUACGGGAGGCAGCAGUGGGGAAUAUUGGACAAUGGGCGCAAGCCUGAUCCAGCCAUGCCGCGUGGGUGAAGAAGGCCUUCGGGUUGUAAAGCCCUUUUGUUGGGAAAGAAAAGCAGCAGGUUAAUACCCCGCUGUUCUGACGGUACCCAAAGAAUAAGCACCGGCUAACUUCGUG